CAAGUGACCUACAAAAAGAAUGGCAAACAGCAGCUGGGGUAAAGUGCUCAGCGAGGACGGUUCGAAACAGGCUCCUACGGGCAGGCCUGAAGUCAUGCACAUCUAGAAAAAAGCCCUUCGUCAAUGAGAAGCAAAGAAGAGCCAGGCUGAAGUUUGCAAAAGACCAUAAGGAUUGGACCAUAGAGGAGUGGAGAACCUCCCAGCUGCCCUCUGCUGGAAGCAGAGAAGAUCCCCAGUGUGGUCUUCCUCUCUGCCCUAACCAGGCAGGAACAACAUUACCUGCAAACGCAGAGGAACUGGAGCAAUGAAGACGAACACAAAACACACACCCACACCUUGGAGAUUUACAGACCGAUGGAUUCUGGUUAAGAAAUUGCAAUGACAUUUGCUCAAACGGACAGGCUCUUUUCUAGGACCACAUGUAUGCACUUAACUAAAAGUUACUCUCUCACACACACAAAUUGAGAUCCAGAAAGGUUAAUACCAUACACAUGUUAAUAAUGUAGAAGUGUUUUUUAUUAUCUGGUUUCUUUUACUUUCUCUCUUCAACCUGCCUUAACUGUACAGAUCCACCUAGUAUGACACACACACAAACACACACAUAAACACACCAACAUAUAUAUAUAUAUAAAUAACCAGUAAGAGAGGAAGUGAGCAGGAGAACCUAAGAACUACUAGCAUGCGAAGGGAAGAGGGACGAUGUGUUAAUGACUAACAGUACUGUUGUUUCCAUCUAGCGUAUACCACGCAUGUAAACUACAAAGUAGAACUGUAGGGCAAACCAUAAUAAUGAAGGCAGUUAUGAUAACGGUGACAGUUUGCCUUUUUACAAAGCGUGAGUGACACUGUUCAGAUAUCCUCUUUUUAAACGCCUAUACAUGUAGCUGAAGAUGCAGGCUGAGGAACAAGGAGUCCAGAGCCUAUAUUGUACGGAGCUGAGCUGACUGGGAGAGGCAUAUUGAAAUCAGUCCCUUAAAACAAACGACCUGACAUGUUACCUACCAUUAUGUAUCCAUUCGGUAGGAACUAUUAGGAAGCAAUGAGCAGGAGUUUGAGACUUGAUUUGAAAGGGAUAGUUAACCCAAAUGAACCCUGAUAGCAGCUGCAGGACAAGUUAUGACAGCACCAUAUUUUGGUUUUAUUUCCAGAUUGAUUUGAGCGACAAAUAUUGAAAUACAGGGCUACUUUUUAAAAUACAGGAGAUAUUUUUUGACUUGUUGUUUAGUAGAUUGUAAUAAAUAUUUGAGACAAUUA